UUAAAUUGAAGAGUUUGAUCAUGGCUCAGAUUGAACGCUGGCGGCAGGCCUAACACAUGCAAGUCGAACGGUAACAGGAAACAGCUUGCUGUUUCGCUGACGAGUGGCGGACGGGUGAGUAAUGUCUGGGAAACUGCCUGAUGGAGGGGGAUAACUACUGGAAACGGUAGCUAAUACCGCAUAACGUCGCAAGACCAAAGAGGGGGACCUUCGGGCCUCUUGCCAUCGGAUGUGCCCAGAUGGGAUUAGCUAGUAGGUGGGGUAACGGCUCACCUAGGCGACGAUCCCUAGCUGGUCUGAGAGGAUGACCAGCCACACUGGAACUGAGACACGGUCCAGACUCCUACGGGAGGCAGCAGUGGGGAAUAUUGCACAAUGGGCGCAAGCCUGAUGCAGCCAUGCCGCGUGUAUGAAGAAGGCCUUCGGGUUGUAAAGUACUUUCAGCGGGGAGGAAGGGAGUAAAGUUAAUACCUUUACUCAUUGACGUUACCCGCAGAAGAAGCACCGGCUAACUCCGUGCCAGCAGCCGCGGUAAUACGGAGGGUGCAAGCGUUAAUCGGAAUUACUGGGCGUAAAGCGCACGCAGGCGGUUUGUUAAGUCAGAUGUGAAAUCCCCGGGCUCAACCUGGGAACUGCAUCUGAUACUGGCAAGCUUGAGUCUCGUAGAGGGGGGUAGAAUUCCAGGUGUAGCGGUGAAAUGCGUAGAGAUCUGGAGGAAUACCGGUGGCGAAGGCGGCCCCCUGGACGAAGACUGACGCUCAGGUGCGAAAGCGUGGGGAGCAAACAGGAUUAGAUACCCUGGUAGUCCACGCCGUAAACGAUGUCGACUUGGAGGUUGUGCCCUUGAGGCGUGGCUUCCGGAGCUAACGCGUUAAGUCGACCGCCUGGGGAGUACGGCCGCAAGGUUAAAACUCAAAUGAAUUGACGGGGGCCCGCACAAGCGGUGGAGCAUGUGGUUUAAUUCGAUGCAACGCGAAGAACCUUACCUGGUCUUGACAUCCACGGAAGUUUUCAGAGAUGAGAAUGUGCCUUCGGGAACCGUGAGACAGGUGCUGCAUGGCUGUCGUCAGCUCGUGUUGUGAAAUGUUGGGUUAAGUCCCGCAACGAGCGCAACCCUUAUCCUUUGUUGCCAGCGGUCCGGCCGGGAACUCAAAGGAGACUGCCAGUGAUAAACUGGAGGAAGGUGGGGAUGACGUCAAGUCAUCAUGGCCCUUACGACCAGGGCUACACACGUGCUACAAUGGCGCAUACAAAGAGAAGCGACCUCGCGAGAGCAAGCGGACCUCAUAAAGUGCGUCGUAGUCCGGAUUGGAGUCUGCAACUCGACUCCAUGAAGUCGGAAUCGCUAGUAAUCGUGGAUCAGAAUGCCACGGUGAAUACGUUCCCGGGCCUUGUACACACCGCCCGUCACACCAUGGGAGUGGGUUGCAAAAGAAGUAGGUAGCUUAACCUUCGGGAGGGCGCUUACCACUUUGUGAUUCAUGACUGGGGUGAAGUCGUAACAAGGUAACCGUAGGGGAACCUGCGGUUGGAUCACCUCCUUACCUUAAAGAAGC
rnacentral:rRNA from 1 species